CACACACAGAGCAUGCCCACAAAGGACUGUUUGGAAACACCCACCAGUUUUAAGGACACAUGUUUUCAUUAAGGGCUGCAUUUUGCGGCCAAUGCUUGCUAUCCGCCAACUGAGAUUUUAAAGGGAUUUUUAAGCAGUUCCAGCCUUGAACUUCACAGCUCCACAGCAGGUCAAACUGAACGAUGCAGGGAGAGCCGUUUCCCAGGAAUGUCCCUGAAAGAGACCCAGCCUGCUGGAGGAAAAAAAGGCAACAGAGGCUGCUUGAAGUUAAGCCCCCUGCUUUAAGAAAGUUACAGGGGCCGCAGAGCCUUCGCACCAGAGUAAAACCCAACUUGGCAUCAGCCGUCAGCCAUGUAUCCAAGGGCAGGGAUAUAAACUUUAUGCCACUUUAUCUUUUUUUUUUUACUUUAACCAUUUAAAAUGCAAAAGAAAAAAAUUAAACGGAGACAAAACAAAAACAUUGAAAAAAGCAGUGAAUUAAAAUAAAACAAAGGGCAAAAACACA